GUGGAUGAGGAGGGAGCGCUGCGAGCCCUGCCCGUGACACCCGAUCCAGGUAAGCCCUUCCCGGCGGGAUCACCGGGAAUACGGGCUGGGAAUGGCGCUGCGGGCCCUGGGAUGGGAGAUCCAGCUGGGAUACACCUGUGAUGCUCAGGGGUGGGGGGAUGAGGGUGGGAAUGGGGGCGGGAAAGGCUGGGAAAAACUGGGAAAGGCUGGGAAAGGCUCAGACUGGUCCCUGCUCAGGUGUGGAGAGUUGAGGGAAGGAGUGGGAAUGGGAAAGACUGGGAAAGGCUGAGAAAAACUGGGAAAGGCUCAGAGCAGUCCCUGCCCAGGUGUGGAAAGCCCAGGGCAGGAAUGGGAAUGGGAAAAGCUGGGAGAGACUGGGAAAGGCUCAGAGCGGUUCCUGCCCAGGUGUGGAGAGUUGAGGGAAGGAGUGGGAAUGGGGAAGGCAGGAAUGGGGCUGGGAAAGGCUGGGAAAGGCAGGAAUGGGGCUGGGAAAGGCAGGAAUGGGGCUGGGAAAGGCUCAGACUGGUCCCUGCUCAGGUGUGGAAAGCCCAGGGCAGGAAUGGGAAUGGGAAAGGCUGGGAACGGCUUGGAAAGGCUGGGAAAUGUUGGAAUGGGGCUGGGAAAGGCUCGGAAAGUCUGGAAAAGAUUGGGAAAGGCUGGGAAAGGCUGGAAUGGGGCUGGGAAAGGAUUGGAAAGUCUGGAAAAGAUUGGGAAAGGCUGGAAUGGGGCUGGGAAAAGAUUGGAAAGGCUGGGAAAGGCUGGAAUGGGGCUGGGAAAAGAUUGGAAAGUCUGGAAAAGAUUUGGAAAGGCUGGAAAAGGCUCAGAGCAGUCCCUGCUCAGGUGUGGAAAGCCCAGGGCAGGAAAGGGAAUGGGAAAGGCUGGGAAAAGCUGGGAAAGGCUGGGAAAAGCUGGGAAAAGCUCCGAGCCGUGCCGGCCACGGGCGGUGCAGGAGCAGCUGUGCCUCAGGGCUGGCUCGUUGUGACAGCCGCAGGAAAAAUCCCGUGGGAAUGUGGCUGAGCCGGGACCCCCUGGCGCCGUGGGGUUUUCCCGGAGCCUCUGGAAGCGCUGGCUGUGCCCGGCUCCGGCGGCACUGGUGGCACUGGUGGCACUGGGGCAGCGUUUUGGGGCUGAAAAGGAGGGGACGGAGGUGCCGUGGGGUGGGAGGUGACGAAGGACAAACGUCGGGAUCCUCCCGAUCCUCCGGGGUUAUCCCGGUUUUUCCUCCGGGGUUAUCCCGGUUUUUCCUUAGGCUUUGUCCCAGUUUCUGCCCCAACCUCUUCCUGUGGCCUCGGAGCUCCUCUGUUCCCACAGGGCCUGGCAAAGAGCCCGAUCCCAAUCCCGAUCCCGAUCCCAAACCAGCCCCGGGAGCUGCUGCUCCCCCCCGGAGCGCGUCCCCAGCGC
rnacentral:lncRNA from 13 species